AAUCGGUUCUAACCCAUUCAAUUGGUUAAAACAACCUUUAAUUAUUGGUUGUAACCUUUAGAAAUAGGUUGUUUUAACCUAUCAGUUUUUACAGUGUAUCACUGAACAGCUAAAGGUAUGAUCUUUCCGAAUAUGAAAAACCUCGCUCAUACGCAGAGUAAUUCAGUUGCAAUAGUACGCUGAAGUUCGAUUAACUUUUUUUAUAUACCAUGUACAGGGUGUAUAAAAAAACAAAACCUUCAGAACUUUAGAAAUUUAUUGUUGUUGAAGCAGAAUAUAUUUUGCUCCUGGUAAUUAAGCUAUGCCCUUUUGCUCCUUUGUGUUUUCGUACUCUUAUGGUCAGCGUAGUGCUUGUAGCAUUCAAAUUAUUGCAGUAAAGCUAUUUUCUAAAGGUCUCGUGUUUUAUACACCCUGUAUAAUACUCUUUGCACUGUGUCGAUGUUAUUGAGUUGAUUUGUUUGUCCAUUUAAAAACGACAUUUCAGCAAUACGUAUGGGAAUACCAUAUUAGCAAAAGAUCAAGCUUGGACCAAAACUCUGCACAUAUUCACAUAUGACAUAUAUUUAAAAAGUAAAUCCCAGGAAAGGAUCAAAG
rnacentral:lncRNA from 1 species